GACGAACGCUGGCGGCGUGCCUAAUACAUGCAAGUCGAGCGAGCUUGCCUAGAUGAAUUUGGUGCUUGCACCAGAUGNNACUAGAUACAAGCGAGCGGCGGACGGGUGAGUAACACGUGGGUAACCUGCCCNNGAGACUGGGAUAACACCUGGAAACAGAUGCUAAUACCGGAUAACAACACUAGACGCAUGUCUAGAGUUUAAAAGAUGGUUCUGCUAUCACUCUUGGAUGGACCUGCGGUGCAUUAGCUAGUUGGUGAGGUAACGGCUCACCAAGGCGACGAUACAUAGCCGACCUGAGAGGGUGAUCGGCCACACUGGGACUGAGACACGGCCCAGACUCCUACGGGAGGCAGCAGUAGGGAAUCUUCGGCAAUGGACGGAAGUCUGACCGAGCAACGCCGCGUGAGUGAAGAAGGUUUUCGGAUCGUAAAGCUCUGUUGUAAGAGAAGAACGAGUGUGAGAGUGGAAAGUUCACACUGUGACGGUAUCUUACCAGAAAGGGACGGCUAACUACGUGCCAGCAGCCGCGGUAAUACGUAGGUCCCGAGCGUUGUCCGGAUUUAUUGGGCGUAAAGCGAGCGCAGGCGGUUAGAUAAGUCUGAAGUUAAAGGCUGUGGCUUAACCAUAGUACGCUUUGGAAACUGUUUAACUUGAGUGCAAGAGGGGAGAGUGGAAUUCCAUGUGUAGCGGUGAAAUGCGUAGAUAUAUGGAGGAACACCGGUGGCGAAAGCGGCUCUCUGGCUUGUAACUGACGCUGAGGCUCGNNNGCGUGGGGAGCAAACGGG
rnacentral:rRNA from 1 species